rnacentral:rRNA from 1 species
GACGAACGCUGGCGGCGUGCUUAACACAUGCAAGUCGUACGGUAAGGCCCUUUCGGGGGUCCACGAGUGGCGAACGGGUGAGUAACACGUGAGUAACCUGCCCACAACUUUGGGAUAACGCUAGGAAACUGGUGCUAAUACUGGAUAUGUGCUCCUGCUGCAUGGUGGGGGUUGGAAAGCUCCGGCGGUUGUGGAUGGACUCGCGGCCUAUCAGCUUGUUGGUGAGGUAGUGGCCUACCAAGGCGGCGACGGGUAGCCGGCCUGAGAGGGUGACCGGCCACAUUGGGACUGAGAUACGGCCCAGACUCCUACGGGAGGCAGCAGUGGGGAAGAUUGCACAAGGGGCGCAAGCCUGAUGCAGCAACGCCGCGUGCGGGAUGACGGCCUUCGGGUUGUAAACCGCUUUCAGCAGGGACGAAGCUUUUUGUGACGGUACCUGCAGAAGAAGCACCGGCUAACUACGUG